rnacentral:rRNA from 1 species
UACGAAGGGGGCUAGCGUUGUUCGGAAUUACUGGCGUAAAGCGCGCGCAGGCGGUCCUUCAAGUCAGAGGUGAAAGCCCAGAGCUCAACUCUGGAACGGCCUUUGAAACUAGAGGACUUGGGUACGGGAGAGGUGAGUGGAAUUCCGAGUGUAGAGGUGAAAUUCGUAGAUAUUCGGAAGAACACCAGUGGCGAAGGCGGCUCACUGGCCCGUUACCGACGCUCAGGCGCGACAGCGUGGGGAGCAAACAGGG